rnacentral:lncRNA from 10 species
GUGAGGGGACCUGCGCGGGCAGCCGCCCUGGCUAAGGAGCUCAAGCUCUGGGAAGGCCAGGUCUUUGCUCCUCUGCCCAGACGCAGAUGCAGGUGCACCCUGGGUCCUCCUGUCCUCGCUGGGUGUUGAGCGGAGACAGGAGGUGCCUGCCCAGGUCCCUUGUCCUGAGAGUGCCUCCUCCCAGCCAGCCUCGCCCGGUGGGGUCCUGCAGGUUACGACUGAAGCGAGUGGUGCGGCUUCUGGAAGAUUCUGGAGGGUCCUGGGCUGCCCGGGAGGCUGCUUGAUGGGGGUGGUGGAAAAGGGGCCCCCACAGCUAAUACUCCUGUAAACCAAACGGGUGCAAUUCUGGGUGAUUUUCCGCAGAUUUUUCUGAACCACAUCCAGAAGUAAAGUCGUGGAGGAGAUAUCAAAACUUCUUGGGUAUCUAAACUUCCUCUUUCAGGGGAAGAAGCAGAGGUAGCUUUGACUGCCCCAGCUGGCCAGGGCGUCCCUUGAGCUCUGACCCCUGACCCUCUGGCUCCUCACCUGGGAGUCAGGUGAUGGCUUCACGCCCAGGACACAAUGGGCUGUGCAGUUUCCAGCUCUGACGGCAGCAGGGCGUUCUUUUCCUCUUGAAUCACCAGGUUUCGGGUCAGCAGUGUCGAGAGCCCGGCUCCAAGGUGCUUCUGAACGAUCAGCGGGAGUUUACCUGGCAACUUGGAUCCAGCAACCCUGGUCCCACAGGAGCUGGAGCGGACUUCCCGCCAGGUUGAGACCACAGGUGCAGGGGAAGGGGCGAGAGUGUUCCUCAGGCACCCACCUCCCAGCCACGCCCACUCCCAGCCUGCCUUAAGGAUGAGAUCUGUUUCCUCAGUGAACUUGCCCCAGUGCAUGGCGUGAGAAGCUAAAUGACACACAUCCUACAUUCACUGCUUCUGGAAUAACCAGAGAUCACGCGCCUGUCACCACCCCCAGAUGAAAACCAGGACGUCGCAGCCCUGGAGAAUCUGAGCCACUCUUGGGACACUUUCCUGGGGUGUGGGCAUCUCCUCGUGCUUUAUCUUCCCUUCCUUGAUGACAAGUGCUAAUUUGAUAACAGGAGAUGUGCAAAAUUACUUCUUUUUUAAAAUUCUCUGAAAGACUUCAAUGUAACUGGUAUUAUUUCUUCCUUCAGUGUUUGGAAAAGUUUACCAGUGAGUCUGUGUGGCCCUGAAGGUUUUAUGUGCAGGAGGGGGGCAAAGUUAAAUCAAGGAUUUAAUUUCUUCAUGAGACAUAGUACUAUUCAGAGCUUCUGUUUCUUUUUGUAUGGAUUUUGGAGAAUGUGUCUAUUUUAUCUCCAUUUACAAGAUCGUUAUCACAGAGUUAUCUGUGGUAUUUGUAUAUCCAUCAGUUUCCUCGGACUGCUGUGAUCACCACACACUGUGGCUUCACAGAUCUGCCUUCUCAGUGGUGGAGAAAGGAAAUCUGAAGUCCAGGUGUGGGCAGGGCUGCACGCCCUCCGGAGGCUCUAAAAGAGGCUCCUUCCUGCCCCUUCCAACUUCUGCGGCUCCAGGCAUCCCUGGGUCUGUGGCCCCAUCGCCUCAGCCUCUGCCUCCAUCUCUGUGGCCCUUGCCUUUUGCCUCUCCUCUGUGGCCUCAAAGCUGUCCAUAUAAGGACAUCAGUCGGCCAGGCGUGGUGGCUCACGCCUGUAAUCCCAGCACUUUGGGAGGCCAAGGCAGGUGGAUCACGAAGUCAAGAGAUCGAGACUAUCCUGGUCAACACAGUGAAACCCCG